UUGAGCUUCUCUCUAGGCUCUGGAGUCCUUCAUUUUUCUUUCUUUUAACUUAGAACCUGCAUAUCUUUGAUCAAAGAACUAUGUGUAUAUAGCCUGACAUCGCAGACUCCUCAACUUCUAGAAGUAUUUUUCAUUGCAUGCAUGCAUGAAUGAAUCUGCUUCUGUCACUCCUUACUCUUGAUACAACAGAAUGAACAUAUCCAGCUUAAGAGAGACCUCCAGUGAGAACACAACUCAUUUGAUCCAAAGAAUUAGAUCCAUAUCUGACACUGUUAAUAUAUGCCCACCUACUUCUGAGGAAAGUCCUAAGAUAUUUCAUCUAACAGUGACACACAAUGUUGGAUUCAAAGUUCUCUUUUCUCAAAACACACAUGAAGAAGCCAUGUGUGGUGUUUUGCACCUGCAAUCCCAGCACUAGGGAGCAUGAGAGGUCUGAGACCAAAUGCAGAAGUCAUAUAUGGAAGAAGUUCUCACUUCAACUGCUCAUGGAGCUGUGGUUGGAACACAAAUUGACAAAGGAAGAUUCGGGAAAGCUGAAAGUCCUCAGAUAUUUCUAAAUCAGACAAAAAGUUGAAGGAAAUGAAAAUAAAAAGGAAAGAAAAAAAAAGAAUGAAAGAAAGAACAUAUGGAAAGAAGAAGUAAGGAAAAGAGGAAGAGAAGAAGGAGGGAUGAAGGAAAGAGGACAGAGGAAAUGAGAAAGGAAGGAGGAAGUAACAAAAGGUAGAAGGAAAAGAGAAAAGGGAGUAUACUUCUUUGCUCUUGAGAAAGAAGAGACUGGCCAUCACUAGUCGUUGAUGUUCUAUUUAAUACUUAGGGUCAAAUAAUUGGUUUGAAAUAGUACUUGUUUGAGUCCCAAACUGUGUUUGGUGAAGUGAGAUGCUCUCUCAGGAUGGAAAUGGUGAAAGAUACCACACUUCUUUCUUCUCUGAAGCUUUUGUCACCAAUCUCCCAGGAUCUUUAACAGGACUAAGGAACAUCUGAUUUUAUUCACCUGUACCCUCAAAAUUCUCCAGAUGAUAUUUAGAAAUCAAAGAGUAGUGGCGAAGAACCUUGUACAUAUUGGCACAGGGGAUAACUUCCUGAACAGAAUACCAGCAGCUUAGAAACUAAGAUCAACAAUUAAUAAAUGAUACCUCAUGAAAUUGAAAAGCUUCUGUAAGGCAAAGGACACCAUCAAAAAGACCAAACAGCAGCCAACAGAAUAGAAAAAUAUCUUUCCCCACCUUACAUGCAACUGAGGGCUAAUAUCCAAAAUAUAUAAGACCUCAAGAAACUAGACAUCAACAAAUCAAGUAACAAAUUAAAAAUGGGGUGCAAAUCUAAACAGAGAAUUUUCUACAGAGAAAUCUCUAAUGGCUGAGAAGCAGUUAAAGAAAUGUUCAACAUCCUUAGUCAUCAAGAAAAUGCAAAUCAAAAUGACUCUGAGAUUCCAUCUUACACCCAUCAGAAUGGCUAAGAUCAAAAACUCAAGUGACAGCACAAACUGGCAAGGAUGUGGAGAAAGAGGAAGACUCCUCCAUUGCUGGUGGGACUACAAACUUGAACUACCAUUCUGAAAUCAAUUUGGAAGUCUCUUAAAAAAUUGGGAAUAUUUCUACCUCAAGACCGAGCUGCACCACUCAUGGGCAUAUACCCAAAAGGUACUCCUUCAUACCACGAGGAUGCUCAACUAUGUUAAUAGCAGUUUUAUUUGUAAUUGCUAGAAACUGGAAACAACAUUAAAUGUUCCUCAUCUGAAGAAUGGAUAAAGAAAAUGUGGUACAUUUAUACAAUGGAAUACUACUCAACUAUUAAAAAUAAUGAAACGAGAAAUUUGCAGCAAAUGAAUGGAACUAGAAAGAUUAUCCUGAAUGACAUAACCCAGACCCAGAAAGACACACAUAUACUUAUUUAUAAGGGUAUAUUAGCUAUAAAGUAAAAGAUAACCAUGCUGCAAUCCAUAAACCCAAAGAAGCUAAGUAUCAAGGAAGGCUCAAAGGGAGUAGGCAUGAAUCUCACUGAGAAGGGGAAAUAGAAUAGACAUUAUGAGUAGACAAGGUGUCAUGCUGGACAUGGGUUAGGGUGGGGAUGGAACAGGAGGGAUCAGGUGGGGAUAGGACAGAGGAAGUGAGUACUGGGAGAGACAACAGGAAUGAGGAGUUAUCUCUGGAAUGAGCUAGACAUCUAGGAUAAUAGCAACUCCCAGGAAACUACGAGGAUGACUCUAGCUAAACUCCUAGCAAUGGAGAAUCUGUAACAUGGAGCAGCCAUCUCCAGUAACCAGAGAAGACUUCCAAUAGAGGGACUGGGACACCAACCCAGCCACAAAACCUUAGACUCACAAUUUGUCCUGCCUACAAGAUGUACAGAGGUAAAGUUGGAGCAGAAAUUGCGGAAUGUCCAACCAAUGACUGGUCCAGCUUGAGAGUCAUUCAAAGAGAGAGAUAGCGAGCUGACCCCUGACAAUAUCAAUGACAUUCUUCUAUACUUGGAGACAGGAACCUAGCAUAACCAUUAUCAGAGAAGCUUCACCCAACAACUUUUGGAAAAAGAUACAGAGACCCACAGUAAAACAUUAAGUGGAGCUUAAUGUUCCACAUCCUGUGGAAGAGGCAGAAAAAGAAUUAAAAGAGCCAGAGGUGUCAAGACAUCACAAGAAAACCUACAGAAUCAACUAAUCUAGGCCCAUAGGUGCUCACAGACAUGGAACUGUCAACCAGGGAGCAUGCAUGGGAUAGACCAAAGCUCUCUGCACGUAUGUAACAGUUGUAUAAUUUGGUCUUCAUAUAGGACUCCUAACAGCAGGAGCACAGGCUGUCUCUGACUCUGUUGCCUGCCUUUGGAUCCCUUUUCCCUAGCUGGGAUGCCUUGUCUAGCCUCAAUAGGAGAACUUAUUGCAAUUUGAUAUACCAAGAGAGUUUGCUAUCUAUUGAAAGCUUCCUCUUUUUUCGAAGUGAAAGGAAAAAGUGAGAGGGAGAGACUGGAGGGAGAGAAGCGUGAGGAAUCUUCUAUAGAAAUGCAAAAAGAAGGACAUUGUAGCCAGUCCUGAAGAGACCUGGUAAGCUAGGAUCAGAUGGAAGGGGAGGAGGACCUCCCUUAUCAGUGGACUUAGAGAAGGGCAGGGAGGAGAUAA